GCUCAGGUAGCUCAUGUAGUAGAGCGUCAGUCUGAAAAACUGAAGGUAGCCGGUGCAAGUCCGGCCCUGAGCA
rnacentral:tRNA from 1 species